AAACAAUCUAAAGAACUCAAAGAAAGUGCCAGACAGUAUGCAAAAAAUGUCUUUUUUGUUUUGCUUAAGAAUUAAGAUCUCAGAAACUCAUACCUCAAACCCACACCCCGCCACCAUGAAAACCAGAUAACAGAGAUAAGAAUGUCAACUCAAAAGCCCCUAAAACAAAACUGAUCUCAAUUCUCACACAUACUCCCUUAAUAUUUUUAUAUACUCUCUCACUCUUUUCUCUGUUUGUUUUUUAUGGGAAAAUCAAUUCCUUCAACCACCAAGUUCCAGGAGUUCGCCAAAAUUAUCGCUUCGGAUAAGCUCCCAAGGCCGAAACGCGCGAAACCCAUAUCGAGAAUCCGAGUCUCGUCCCCGGAAACAGCGAAACCCGGGGCUGUCCGAGUCGACUCGGAGAGGAAGAAGAUAAUGGAGAGCUCUGAGACUCAGCAGAAUCGGUUGCCACUGGCUCUGGUGGUAUCGGACUGUGUAAAGCGGUGGUUCCAGGACACGCUCAAGGAGGCCAAGGCUGGUGAUAGCGCCAUGCAAGUCCUUGUGGGCCAGAUGUACUCCAGUGGCUAUGGUGUCCCCAAAGACCCUCAUAAGGGACGCGGUUGGAUUAGUAAAGCUUCAAAAAGCCGAGUUUCAGUUUGGAAUGUAAGUGAUAAACAUCCAGGUUACAAUGCAAGUGACUCAGAUUCGGAUGAAUCAAAGGGUAAAGCAAAAUAAGGUCAACUGCAAUUUGCUGUUAAAUUUACUAAUAAAAAAAGCAUGCUACAUUUCAGAUAAAAGCCACUUAUAUCUAAAGGAAAACAUUUCCAGCAACACAUUACAUUACUAAUAGAGGGACAAUUUUGGGAUUUGGGAGGACAAUUGAGGGUUCUAGGCACUGAAGGUUGGCUUAUCAAUUUUACAUCCAUUUUGCUUAGUUUCAGUGAAUUUGUGGGCUGUGAUGAGUUCCAAUUCUAACCAUCUUUCAAUGUCAAUCAACUGGCUGGAUUUGUUCUCUCUCUCUCUCUCUCUCUCUCUCUCUCUCUCUCUCUCUCUCUCUAUUUUUUCCCUGUAUUUACUUUCUCUAGGUACGUUCCUUCCAUGUGUUGUUGUAUUUAUACCAAGAAUUAAAGCCUUAAAGGUUGUGUAGAUUUGUCUUUUCUUUUUCUUUUUACAAAAAAAUUAUGUUCUCAUCACUCGUGGCAUAUUUUGUUGCGAUGUUACAAUUGAUGAGGCUGAAACUGCUAGGAUUAAGAUGAAAUUCUUGUCCUUUCUUCUGUUGAUUCUAAAUGUAUCACUUGGUUUGUUGAGUGGUAAUUUUGAAUGGUCUUG